rnacentral:lncRNA from 1 species
GACGUCUAUUAUCUUCGGACAGUGUACACGCCGCCUAAAACGAUAUCCAUACCCAUUGACCGAAAAAAAAACUAAUUUUGAACUUGUAGGUCUGUUAAUAGAACCAUUUCAAAAUUUAAAUGUCACUGUUUCGGAAAUGUCUCGUGGGGCAACAGAUAAUGCCACGUUUUUUUUUUCAAAUAAUGUCACGAAAAUGAUCAUGGGGGAGAUUUGUAAGACUAAAGGACAAAAAAUAAGAUUGAACAAACCUGUUUUACUUACGAUUGAUUGUCAAGCUGGUCUCCGAAACAUUUUGGGGGAUUGAAACUUGGAUUUGCA